rnacentral:rRNA from 1 species
GACGAACGCUGGCGGCGUGCUUAAGACAUGCAAGUCGCACGGACCCUUCGGGGUCAGUGGCGGACGGGUGAGUAACACGUGGAUAACCUGCCCGAGUUCCCCGGGAUAACAGACCGAAAGGUCUGCUAAUACCGGGUAAGCUCACGGCACCGCAUGGUGUUGGGAGAAAAGGCCCUGCGAAGGGCUGGGAUCGGAGGGUCCGCGGUCCAUUAGCUAGUGGGGGGUAACGGCCCACCAAGGCGACGAUGGAUAGCCGGCCUGAGAGGGCGACCGGCCACACUGGGACUGAGACACGGCCCAGACUCCUACGGGAGGCAGCAGUCGGGAAUUUUGGGCAAUGGCCGAAAGGGCUGGCCCAGCAACGCCGCGUGAGUGAAGAAGGCCUUCGGGUUGUAAAGCUCUGUUGCCCGUGAAGAACGGUGCCCACAGGAAAUGGUGGGUACUUGACGGUAGCGGGAGAGGAAGCUCCGGCUAACUACGUG